rnacentral:sRNA from 1 species
UUUGCAUUGGGUGAAUGACCUUCCUAGAGCACUUGAACAGAUUCAUUAUAUUUUAAAACCAGAUGGAGUGUUUAUCGGUGCAAUGUUUGGAGGUGACACACUCUAUGAACUUCGGUGUUCCUUACAGUUAGCGGAAACGGAAAGAGAAGGAGGAUUUUCUCCACACAUUUCUCCUUUCACUGCUGUCAAUGACCUGGGACAUCUGCUUGGGAGAGCUGGCUUUAAUACUCUGACUGUGGACACUGAUGAAAUUCAAGUUAACUAUCCUGGAAUGUUUGAAUUGAUGGAAGAUUUACAAGAAAUGUACAGAAAUGAAGAUGGUUCAGUACCUGCCACAUAUCAGAUCUAUUACAUGAUAGGAUGGAAAUAUCAUGAGUCACAGGCAAGACCAGCUGAAAGAGGCUCCGCAACUGUGUCAUUUGGAGAGCUAGGAAAAAUAAACAACCUUAUGCCACAGGGGAAUAAAUCACAAUAAAUAUUUAUUCAAUGUUAA